AACCACAUUGGGAGAAAGAGGAGGAGCUUGAGGAGCAUCAGCAGCAGCAACAGUGAUAGGGUUAUUACGAAACACAGGAGUAACAACAGGGACAGAGUGGGAAUUAGGGUUUUGAUGAAGGGCAAAAUGGUCCUUAUUCUGAAAAGAUAGUAGUUGUUGAGGUUGUUGUUGAGGUUGUUGUGGUGGUUGUUGUUGUUGUUGUUGUUGUUGUAACUGUCUAUGUUGUUGUUGUUGUUGAGAAGCAAAAAGAAGAUUGAUCUGAGAAGUAAUGAAAUCAAGUUUAUGAGUAAGAUCAUGACCAAGUUUAGAUUGAA
rnacentral:lncRNA from 1 species